UCUGGGCUCGAGCCUGCCUGGAGCCGCCGCCGGUGCAGAUCUUGGUGGUAGUAGCAAAUACUCCAGCGAGGCCCUGGAGGACUGAUGUGGAGAAGGGUUUCGUGUGAACAGCCGUUGCACACGAGUCAGUCGAUCCUAAGCCCUAGGAGAAAUCCGACGCCUACGGCGACGGGAUUUUUGAAAAAUUAUGAAACCCGUUGAUCGGGCGAAAGGGAAUCCGGUUCCUAUUCCGGAACCCGGCAGCGGAACCGCUGUUUGUCGGGCCCUCACAAGGGGUUCGUCAGGGUAACCUAAAAGGGCCCGGAGACGCCGUCGGGAGCCCCGGAAAGAGUUUUCUUUUCUGCAUGAGCGUUCGAGUUCCCUGGAAUCCUCUCGCAGGGAGAUAGGGUUUGGAACGCGAAGAGCACCGCAGUUGCGGCGGUGCCCGGGAAUUCCCGACGGACCUUGAAAAUCCGGGAGAGGGCCACGUGGAGGUGUCGCGCCGGCUCGUACCCAUAUCCGCAGCAGGUCUCCAAGGUGAAGAGCCUCUAGUCGAUAGAAUAAUGUAGGUAAGGGAAGUCGGCAAAUCGGAUCCGUAACUUCGGG
rnacentral:rRNA from 1 species